UACGUAGGGGGCAAGCGUUGUCCGGAAUCAUUGGGCGUAAAGAGCGUGUAGGUGGCUCGGUAAGUCCGCUGUGAAAGUCCAGGGCUCAACCCUGGAAAGCCGGUGGAAACUGUCGAGCUCGAGUCCGGAAGAGGCGAGUGGAAUUCCUGGUGUAGCGGUGAAAUGCGCAGAUAUCGGGAAGAACACCCGUGGCGAAGGCGGCACUCUGGGACGGUACUGACGCUGAGACGCGAAAGCGUGGGGAGCGAACAGG
rnacentral:rRNA from 1 species